rnacentral:tRNA from 1 species
UCCCUGGUGGCUCAGACGGUAAAGCGUCUGCCUGCAAUGCGGGAGACCCGGGUUCGAUUCCUGGGUCUGGAA